GACGUAGGGCGCGAGCGUUUGUCCGGAUUUAUUGGGCGUAAAGAGCUCGUAGGCGGCUUGUCGCGUCGUCCGUGAAAACUUGGGGCUCAACCCCAAGCUUGCGGUCGAUACGGGCAGGCUAGAGUUCGGUAGGGGAGACUGGAAUUCCUGGUGUAGCGGUGAAAUGCGCAGAUAUCAGGAGGAACACCGGUGGCGAAGGCGGGUCUCGGGGCCGAUACUGACGCUGAGGAGCGAAAGCGUGGGGAGCGAACAGG
rnacentral:rRNA from 1 species